rnacentral:tRNA from 1 species
GCGGUCAUAGUCCAGCCUGGAUUAGGACGCUGGCCUCCCAAGCCAGAGAUCCCGGGUUCGAAUCCCGGUGGCCGCA